rnacentral:lncRNA from 1 species
GGGUCGAGGCCGAAUGUGUCUGGUAUUGGCUGGACAAAACCGGGUGCUAUUGCUUUGCAAGAGAAAGACUGGAGAGGUGAUGAUGGUGUGCAUCAGAGUGUUCGUGCUACAGAUGGUGUUAUUAAGGGGAGUAGCAGUUAUAUGCCACCUUCGGCCCGGUUGGCUGGGGUUGGACUACCGGUUAGUGCUUCUGGUCAGUCUUAUAUACCACCAGCUGAGAAAGCUAUGGUCUUGAGGGGCGAGGAUUUUCCUUCUUUAAAAGCUGCCUUACCUACCACAUCUGGGCCAGUGCAGAAACAAAGAGACAAUUCACAUCAAAAGCAUAAGCAGGGACUGAGUGAGGAGUCUUCCAAUGAGCAGAAAGAUAAUUACCAUCUGAAUUCAUCAGUUCACAUGCAUCCACAGGGGCAAUAUACCNNNNNNNNNNNNNNNNNNNNNNNNNNNNNNNNNNNNNNNNNNNNNNNNNNNNNNNNNNNNNNNNNNNNNNNNNNNNNNNNNNNNNNNNNNNNNNNNNNNNCGUGGUGGUUGAUCCUUUCUGUAUAUAUAUAUUUAUAACUUUUAUAUAUAUAACUGCUUACUGCUUUUCAUAUAAACUACGGCAUCAUGUGAGCCUAAGAAUCAUGUGAUCACAGAUUCAGUCCACUAAAUCUAGAUUCUGUUCCCGUGAUGGAAAUUUUCAGCUGUAAGCAGCUUAUAAAUUAUUCACGGUGUUUGAAUUUCCUUAGAUGGCUUUCAUGCCCAUGAGGAGUUCGACAUCCCUAUAUAUUAUUUUCUCGAAGAUGUUUUGCAUCUCGAAAAUAAAAGCAAUCAAGCCGAACAUUUAAUAAUAAAAAAUGGAAGUAUGAAAAGGUCUAAAUUACUGUUGAGCACAAGGUUUGAAAAACCUCUUUUACAAAACCUCACUAUUAUAUCAUGUUUAAAACUAAAAUUUUCAAACAAAUUCAAACCCUUUGUAUAUAGGUGCGAACGAGGACUCGCAUUACUUCCAAAUAAUAACACAUUGACCCACACACACACACAUUCAUAUAACAAUUGCUUGAAAAGUGGCGGUCACCGUGGUAACACGGAUGACGGGGGGUGCCUAACACCUUCCCUUCGCAUAAUCAAGCCCCCGAACCCAAAUUAAUCUCGGUUUCACAGACCCGUUUAGCAAUGUCACAUCACUGGGUCAAUGUGCAAAUCUUUUCUCGGUUGCGUUGGUGCAACCAGUUAAAAACACCAACUGGCGACUCUACAGUCAAAUCGUCGACAUAUACAUGUCGGACCUUUUUCACUUGUUUUUUCAAACAAAUCUCACAUAACAUGAAAAUACCAAAGAACAAGAAUAGAAGAGGGACAAAUAAAAAUCCCGACGUCGACAUUAAUUAUCAAACAACUUUUUUCAUUCAAAUUCAGAUUCAGACUAAGCACAGUUAUAUUCAGAUUCAUUUUAAUUUUAUCAAACACUCCCUAAAUGUAAAUUUAAAUAUGAAUAAUUUUCUCAUUUUAUUCUCUUUCUUAAUAUGCGCAAAAAGACAGUUAAAACUUUUAUCCUAUAUAUAUACACUAUAUAUAUAUAUAUAUAUAUAUAUAUAUUAUUAGUAAGGGAGUAAAAAAAUUACUUUUGAUAAAGGUGUAAUAUUUUUUUUAGGAAAUUAUUAAAUUCAUAACAAAAAAAUAUUAUUUUUAUAAUAAAAGUGUCGUUGAAGAUGUAUAGCGACGGUAAAAACCGUCGCUAUAGGAUCUAUAGCGAUAUGGGAUUUAUAGUGACACUUUUAUUAUGAAAAUAAUAUUUUCUAUUGUAAAUUUAAUAAUUUCUUUUUUUUUUAUCUUUAUGUUUUACUUUUUCAUUUCUAUUUAUACUCUUUCACCCACUCAUAACCUCUUCUCCUCUAAGUCUUGUUUUUAUUAUAUUUUAAUUUUUUUUAUCCUCUCACACAUGCAAUGUGUACAUGUUAUAUGACUAAUAUAUAUAAAAGAAGACGCUUUUAUGUUUUCACCAAAAAAAUUGUCCAAUAAUAUUAAACUAAUACUAUACUCUCAAAUAUAUUGAUGUUUUGAACUAGAUGUGGCAAACGGGCGGGCGGGCCAACGACGGGCCGGGCCAAAAAAGUCCGGGUUUUGGCGGGCCGAAAAUGUUAGGCCUGUGGCGGGCGGGCCCGGCCCGCGGGCUUCUUCCCCUAUAUUUUUUUUUUACAAAAUUUUGUUACACCAAAAAUAGUAAUAGUAAUAAAUAUUAAAAAUAAUACAAUAAUUUAUAAUAAACAAUAAUUCUAAUUACCUACAUUAACUACAUACCUCAAUCAAUUAAAAUUUUAAUAGUAUUAUAAAUUACUUUCAAAGUAUAUAAUCAAAUUUGAUUUUUUAAAAUUAUACUUUAAAAUUAAUAUAAUUUAUUUAACUNNNNNNNNNNNNNNNNNNNNNNNNNNNNNNNNNNNNNNNNNNNNNNNNNNNNNNNNNNNNNNNNNNNNNNNNNNNNNNNNNNNNNNNNNNNNNNNNNNNNCAUCUUUGCCAGGUCUAUUUUGAACAAUAUAAGAACAUUAUUAUUAUUAUUAAAAUAAUUGGUCAAAAUAAUGAUAACACAAUAAAUAAAUAAAUUAAAAUAAAUAUGUCAUGCCCACAAUAGAAUAAAACACAAGCUAAUCAAAGUAAAUUCAUAAUUUAUGUUUUGUUUUUGAAAAAUAAAAUAAAUAAAUAAAACAUAAUAAAUAGGUAAAAAAAGAGAUAUAUUAAUAAAAAUAAGUGUAAUUAUUUAUAUUUUAAGAAACUUAAUAGUAAGAAUAAUGUUAAUUCGUAACAUAAUGGAUAGCAAGGAAUUUUUUUUAAAUUUUUCUCUCAAAUUAUACCCGCUCCAUAUAAAAUAGAGAAAUUAUUUUAAUAUACUAAAGUCAAUUAAAACUAUUUUAAAAAUAAAAUUAAUACAAAGAUGGAGUAACUACUAAUUACUAUUUUUUUUAAAAACAUAGACAAAAAUAUAUAUGUUUAAAUUUGAAAAUAUUUUAAAUUUACAUAUUAUAAAAAAGUCAAAAUUGUUACAAAAAUUUCCCAAAUUUCCUCAAGUCGUGAUUCCUCAGUCCAUUUCUUCCUCUUCUUUCUCCCUUCUCUCCCCUCCCCCUCGCCUCCCCAGAGCGGUAGUAGGUGACGUCAUCGCAUUUCUCCAUCGCUCAGCGGCGUACGUUAAACACUGCCGUCUCUAUCAUACGCCACCGGAGGUAAGCUCCCUAUCCUACACCUCGCCUCCAUUUCAGCUCAAUCUAUAGGUCGACCUGAAAAGUUUGAUUAAUGGCUUAAUUCAAAUCAACGCCAGUUUUUGAAAUCAAAUGUAUUGUACAGAUUUGCUUAUGGUAAUUAUCGAGUUUUUGUGAUCUGUUAAGGUAUUUAGUAUUUGUUAAUUUUUUCGUUAUCAGGUACCAGCUGGGUUUCUAGGGUUUUGAUUUUCUUGAUCAUUAGUUGGGAGAUCUGCUGGAAAAGUCGGUAGAAAUCAAUUUGUUUUUGGAUUGAGGAAAGUCGGUUUUGCGGUUUUGAUGCUUUGCUGUGGUUUUGAAUCCGUUCUGAGAUGGCCAGUCCUGGCGGUGGUGGGAACAAAUUUGUGUCUGUGAAUUUGAAUAAGUCAUUUGGACAGACUGCUUAUCAGCAUAAUCAUCCUCCCCAUUAUAAUGGGUCUUAUGGACAAGCUGCUGCAGGUCGUGUCCGGCCGGGCGGCAAUCAUGGGGGAGGAGGUGGAGGUGAUGGAAUGGUGGUCCUGUUGCGGCCUCGAAGUUCACAAAAGGUUGCACCGAAGCUAUCUGUUCCACCCCCCUUGAAUUUGCCGUCGUUGAGGAAAGAACAUGAGAAAUUUGAUUUGUCUGGGCCAGGAAAUGGGUCUGCAGGUGGUACUGGGUCUGGAAGCGGGUCGAGGCCGAAUGUGUCUGGUAUUGGCUGGACAAAACCGGGUGCUAUUGCUUUGCAAGAGAAAGACUGGAGAGGUGAUGAUGGUGUGCAUCAGAGUGUUCGUGCUACAGAUGGUGUUAUUAAGGGGAGUAGCAGUUAUAUGCCACCUUCGGCCCGGUUGGCUGGGGUUGGACUACCGGUUAGUGCUUCUGGUCAGUCUUAUAUACCACCAGCUGAGAAAGCUAUGGUCUUGAGGGGCGAGGAUUUUCCUUCUUUAAAAGCUGCCUUACCUACCACAUCUGGGCCAGUGCAGAAACAAAGAGACAAUUCACAUCAAAAGCAGAAGCAGGGACUGAGUGAGGAGUCUUCCAAUGAGCAGAAAGAUAAUUACCAUCUGAAUUCAUCAGUUCACAUGCAUCCACAGGGGCAAUAUACCUAUU